rnacentral:rRNA from 1 species
GUCUACAGCCAUACCACCCUGAAUGUGCCCGAUCUCAUCUGAUCUCAGAAGCUAAGCCGGGUCAGGCCUGGUUAGUACUUGGAUGGGAGACCGCCUGGGAAUACUGGGUGUUGUAGGCU